UCUCUCAGUUUUUGGGGCUUUUUCCUCUGGCUUUCGUACAUUUAAUUGAUUAUUACGUCAAAAAAUUGAAGGCACAUUCAUAAUAGCAAGGAAUCAAAAAAGGCAUCGGUCUCUCAAUAUUCUUCGAAAAUCAUUCCAAAAUAUUUCUCACCGCUUCAAAUCUGGCGAACAUAUAUCAACAAUGAAUAGAACCGCUUCCAUUGCAGUGGCACCAAAAAUUGAUAAUAAAUCAACAAUCAACAAGGAGAAGAAACAACCCAGCAACCGUUUCAAGCUAAAUCUCAAUUCCAGAUGCAAUAGCGAGAAGAAAUCAAUUUAACCAUCUGUGAGAAAGAUAUGAAGGUAACUUGCAGAGGAGUUGCAGAUGGUCGUGACUGAAGUGGAACCACUGAGACCAAUGAGGUGCAUAAUAUGAAACGUCUCAAGGUGUUUUUUUGUACUUAAAUCAUUGUUCAUCUCUUAAGUUUUCAUCUAUUCCGUAAAGUUAUUUGAAUGUGCGAAAAGCUUAUGGUAGUUCUCUGCCUCUCUCAUAUUGCAUUCAUAGACUCCGUGACAUAGUAUAUCUGAGCAAUUUUUGGACUAAGCAACAGUCCCUGAAAACUAUAAUCCUCAAACCUUUUCAAGUACUCAGUCUCUUUUUAAUAUACCAUGUUGGUAUUAGUCAUGGCCAGCUUGCACACUAGAGAGUUGUUGGGAUGGAGCAUGAAUUGUCACAUCAUAUGAUGAAGUUUACAACAGCUUUUAUGCUUGUGUGUGCAAGAAAAGCUUGUGAGAAAAAUCUAUGCCUGUGAUUUUGAGAAUUCUUUUGCUAUUCAACAUAUGACUAUUCUUCUCUACAAAGUCUUGAUGCUAACCAACAGGCACAAUCUGGAACUAAAAAGCAAAUUUCACGUUUACUUUAUACUAUAUGGAGUAUGUUUUCUUGUAAAAUAAAGGGAGAAAAAAGAAAAUAGUGAUCUUUAACCAAUCUCAAAAUAGGAACAUGAAGCUUCUCACCAUAUUAUAUGUUUGUUUGGUUAUAAUAUAAUUUAUCAAUGUUUGUGGCCAUGAGGUAAUGUUACAGAAUAUUUAUCAGGAACAUGAUGCUAAUAGUGUCCAUGAACGAGUACCACAGACAUCAAGGAUACCUAAUAUUAUUGAAAAUACUCCAAUGUCUUACGGUAUUACUCAUCUUUAUCCUUCGGCAAGCUACUAUUUGAGUUUUCUAUUGUUUGAAUUUUCCUCCAAUUUUUUUUUUUUAUCAUUGGAGUCUAAUUUCAUGCAAACUUGCAAGAGUUAGCAUGAACGGCAAAAUCUUGCAGCUUUCACUUAUUUAUAUUAUAACAGUAACUUCACUUGCCUAAAUAAACCUCCAGGGUACAAUUUUGCAUGUAACAAACAAUACUUGUUAAGAUGGUUGCUGUUGUUCUUUUCACUACUUGUAAUUUCAGAAUACAUCAUUUUCUUCUCAUGUUUCUCUAAUUUCUCCUGGAAAUCUGAUCCAUUACAACCCUCAGUGGCUGCAAGAUAUUUGUGUUCUUUUAGGCAUGGAAAGUCCAUGAACUUGUGCAUAUUGGUAUUUAACAUGUAGUUGGUUUGCAGAUGUGAUAACUUAUUUUUUUCCUGCUGGAUGGUUGGUCUGAUGGUGCUGUUCAUUAGACAAUGCACAUGUUCUUAAUGUCUAAAUUUGUAUGAUCAUCUCUCUCUUGCAUUCCUCUUAUAUUUAGUGUUGCGCUAGUAGGAGAAGAAGAUUUCUUGCUUAUGUGUACAUCUAAAGUGCAUCGCAAACCUUUUAAUUUGUGUUUAACUGAUUGUAUGCAUACCUUACUCUCCUUUUAUCUAAUUUAUUGUCGUUAAGAUUUGUUUUGUUAGGUUUCGCAUGAUACCUUGUCAUUUCAACCCCAACAUAUGUAUGACUAGUGAAAUAAAUUAAUGGUGAAUCUUGCUCUAUUUGUCAUUCAAUCUCUCUAUUCAAUGGAAGUACAAACUAUACAAAGAAAAAUAAAAGAUUGGCCAACAAAGAUAAAUAACAACUUGAUCAUUUGUUUACCCCUUGAUUUUGGUGUUUUUCUGCUUUCAUUUACCUAUAAGAAAGAUCAAGAAAUUGAGAUUCUAUAACGUUAUAGCCACUUCGUUUAUCAAGAAACUAAAUGAAUCAUGUUACUGGAAGCCUUUUGAUACACAUUUGUCUUUGGGACGAGAAAAAAUGUUGCAUAUGCAGAGACUUCCUUCUAUUCCCCGACAGGCAUGGAACCAAGCCAUAAGGCUAGCCAUUGAAAGCUAUAAAAUGGGAACAAUCUUUGGCAAUGUGAAGUUUGUCAAACUUGUGAUAGACAACUCUAAUCCUUCCAUACAUAAUCUUCCAUCCUGCUGCACCAAGUAUUAGGGGGUAAAGUUCUUAGACAAUGACUUCUGACCUUUUCUGGAAAGAUGGACAUAGUAUUUUGUAAACAUCUCUGUAUACCCUUUUUCUUUCUUUCCCUAGUGUUCUGUGAUCCAUGCUCAUAUUACCUCAAGCUCAUAUUAACUUACAUACACUUUCUUUGUCUAAUCUAUUUAGUAUUAUGAGCAGAUUAAGUGACAUGCUUCACUAUUA